AUGGAGCAGGAGUCAGAGGCCUCAAGCCCUCUCUCCACUUCGUGGCUUCUUGUUCUCAAAGCACAAGCUGCUCUUGCUACUAUUAGUAAACUACUUCUGCUCACUAUAAUGGCUAAGGGGCGUUGCCCAACUACGUGGAUGCUCGCCUGCUCACCGAGCGUCGCUGCAGUCCACCCCGAAGCCGUCAGCAGGAGGAGGUUGCACCAGUCCCGCCUCUCCUUCGUCCAGUGCUCCAAGAGGCCAGGGCAGAAAAAUCGGUCAUCUUCUGAUGAGCCCUGCCCCAACAGGAACCUCUCUCUACCUCUCUCAGCUACUAAUGGACACUAUAGUGUGAAGUUGAUGUAG
rnacentral:rRNA from 1 species